GACGAACGCUGGCGGCGUGCUUAACACAUGCAAGUCGAACGGAAAGGCCCUGCUUUUGUGGGGUGCUCGAGUGGCGAACGGGUGAGUAACACGUGAGUAACCUGCCCUUGACUUUGGGAUAACUUCAGGAAACUGGGGCUAAUACCGGAUAGGAGCUCCUGCUGCAUGGUGGGGGUUGGAAAGUUUCGGCGGUUGGGGAUGGACUCGCGGCUUAUCAGCUUGUUGGUGGGGUAGUGGCUUACCAAGGCUUUGACGGGUAGCCGGCCUGAGAGGGUGACCGGCCACAUUGGGACUGAGAUACGGCCCAGACUCCUACGGGAGGCAGCAGGGGGGAAUAUUGCACAAUGGGCGGAAGCCUGAGGCAGCAACGCCGCGGGCGGGAUGACGGCCUUCGGGUUGUAAACCGCUUUCGCCUGUGACGAAGCGUGAGUGACGGUAAUGGGUAAAGAAGCACCGGCUAACUACGUG
rnacentral:rRNA from 1 species